rnacentral:rRNA from 1 species
GAUGAACGCUGGCGGCGUGCCUAAUACAUGCAAGUCGAGCGAACAGACGAGGAGCUUGCUUCUCUGAUGUUAGCGGCGGACGGGUGAGUAACACGUGGAUAACCUACCUAUAAGACUGGGAUAACUUCGGGAAACCGGAGCUAAUACCGGAUAAUAUAUUGAACCGCAUGGUUCAAUAGUGAAAGACGGUCUUGCUGUCACUUAUAGAUGGAUCCGCGCUGCAUUAGCUAGUUGGUAAGGUAACGGCUUACCAAGGCAACGAUGCAUAGCCGACCUGAGAGGGUGAUCGGCCACACUGGAACUGAGACACGGUCCAGACUCCUACGGGAGGCAGCAGUAGGGAAUCUUCCGCAAUGGGCGAAAGCCUGACGGAGCAACGCCGCGUGAGUGAUGAAGGUCUUCGGAUCGUAAAACUCUGUUAUUAGGGAAGAACAAAUGUGUAAGUAACUGUGCACGUCUUGACGGUACCUAAUCAGAAAGCCACGGCUAACUACGUG